rnacentral:pre_miRNA from 1 species
UGUGUACUCCCUCCGUUCCAAAAUACUUGACUUCCAUUUGUCCAAAAAUGGAUGUACCUAUAUACUAAAAUAUGUCUAGAUACAUCUAUAUUUUGACAAAUAGAAGGCAUGUAUUGUGGAAUGGAGGGAGUAGAAU